rnacentral:rRNA from 1 species
GAUGAACGCUGGCGGCGUGCUUAACACAUGCAAGUCGAACGGGACCUGUUAAGUUGAAACUUCGGUCGAUUCUUUUCAAGUCUAGUGGCGGACGGGUGAGUAACGCGUGGGUAACCUGCCUCACACUGGGGGAUAACAGUCAGAAAUGACUGCUAAUACCGCAUAAGCGCACAGCAUCGCAUGAUGCAGUGUGAAAAACUCCGGUGGUGUGAGAUGGACCCGCGUUGGAUUAGCUAGUUGGCGGGGUAACGGCCCACCAAGGCGACGAUCAGUAGCCGGACUGAGAGGUUGAACGGCCACAUUGGGACUGAGACACGGCCCAG